UUAUGUAAUUAGUGGAAUCGUUUACAAUGUGAGUUUAAUAGAAGCUAGCACAUUUGUACCUCGUUUUGCUCUUUCUUUUUUCUUAUUUAACAAUUAACAACCUUAUCUACUAUACUCAAUGAAAUUUUAAUUGUAAUUAGAAACUCUAUAAUUUCAAAAGUGAACCUAUAAAAAGUACAAAAGCCACCAUUAGUGGUGUAAAUUGAAUAACUCUUGAAGGUUGAUUACUAGUUGAGCUUCCUACCGCCAAACUAGCUAACCAAGAUCCAUCCGCUAGCAUGGUCUGACCCAUCGCCCCUGACCCUGAUCCUGACCCUGAUUCAGAGCCAGGUAAUGAUUCAGGAUCUGACCCUGAUUCAGAACCUGACUCAGGUGUCGAUCCAUCCGCUUUUGAAGAUUUUUUGCUGGUUUGAGAGGAUGGACAAAAUGUGAUGAUGUAAUUGGCAUUAGAACAUGUGAAUGUACUUGUCGCAUCGUCAUAUGCAUAGCUGUAAGAUUUUGGACACGCUAACUUGAACAUCUGCGAGUAAACCGACGGCGAGCACGUCGCCGGUGAAGCAUAAGCGCCUUCACAACAGUACUGUGGAGUCUUAAAAGCAUCACACGCGCUCCUACAAGCGCCACCACCGUCCGCCCUUAGCUCCGUCGGGCAUUUUUGGUUCAAGUCGACGUUGCAACCCGUGGAUGCGCAAGGACCCGACCCGCCACUCACCUCCACCAUCAUAGGCAAAUUGUACCCGUCCACUAGGCUCACGUCAUAGAAAUCCUGCGAACCUGAGCCGAGUGUAAACUCUGCUAGUGUCGCCGGAGUUGCAGCUCCUCCGCCGUUGCACUCCAUCUGUCCGGAACCGCAAUCGGCUGUUGCACAUGUACCGGUUCCCGAAUCGUCGAAAUUACAGCCUGUUCGGCCCCAGAAACGGCCAGACCAGCCAGUCGGCGCUUGGAAUGAACGAGAAGUGUCUUUGGUUAGCUCGAAACCAGUGCUAUCCAGUUUUGGACUGCCCAGAAUUCCAGGCCACACAGUAUGGUCACACUUGUUCACAAAUGUAAACGUAGCCCCAAAUAUACCUUGACAGAAGGUGAGCAAAAGAAGGCUGAGAAUCAUCAAAGAAGUGGAAAUUGCCAUAGAGAUUUUCACAAUUGGUAAUUUGAACAAAAAUGUUGAUAAAUAAGCUUAAUCACAGUGGAGAAAGCAGAGGCAAUGGUUAUGGUGAUAAUGGAUUCUUGAUUGGUAGGGUAUAUAAGUAGGUAGUAAUCGGAAAAAGGUAGAGUAAUAAGAAAGAAAUGCAGAUGAAAUUAAACAAGAAACAUCGACCACCCAAGAAAUUAGACGAAAUUUGAAGGGGGGCUGGUGGCGCUCACUAUAUAAGAAUUGGGAAAUUAAGGAGGGUGUGUGAG
rnacentral:misc_RNA from 1 species